AGCUGCUCAGGGAUCACAGGGGACUAGCCAGGGACUGUCCCCACAGCCAUUGUUUGUUUGUUUACCUAACUUCAACGUUCUCCCUGGAGUUGCAACGCCAGAACCUGCUUUAUCUUCCCAAACAUGAAACACUGGGCUCCUGUGUAAUACAGACUGGAAGAGAUGCUCAGAGGCUGCUGUAGCAGUCCAGGAGAGAUGACAGGAUUGGUGCCAAGCACUAGUGUGGCAGUGAAUGGAUGCUGGCUGGAAAGGGACUUCACAUGGCAACCUCUGGGUGCCAGCUUGGACACCAGGUAUGCACACAUCACCUCCAUGAUGACAAAUAUGAGAACCGAGGCUGCAAGAGUAGUAACUCCCUGAAGGUCACGCUGCCAGCCAGAGGUCAUUCUCAGGCCAGUGCUCAUGCUUUGUCACGAAGCACUGAGCAACACGAGCUUAGAGCUACUGUAGGCUGACUGUCACCAUGGAAGCUGCUCUCGGGACGCCGCUCUGGUUCUGCCCGCUCAGGUUCCGCUCAGGUUCCAUAAGCUCACCCGCUCCUCCCGCGCCCCUUCUUUUUGGAUAAAGCCUUCAUUGCCAGGGCCCAGGGUUGAGCUAUUUCCCUUCUCACCCAGCAAAAGCCUGGCAUCCGGUUUGUCUGUCCAGAUGUAUUUUUGUUUGGGUUUUUACACCAUUCGACUGAGAUCAAGUCAUAAAUGCUCUCUGGAUGGGCAGAGGAACGGUGGUUUAUGAAGUCUGAGGACGCACGUUGUUUAGCUCAAAAGCCCAGCCGGAUGAGCGUGGUGAGGCGAAAGGCUGCACAGUGUGACCGCAGCAAGCUGGUAUCUGGGGCGAUUGCUCUUCGGCAAGCUUUUGAAAACCGGAACAGGAGGGUAUGGUUUUAAUAGUCUCUCGUACCUGGGGCUGUAUGGGUGGGACGCAUCAGAUGAGAGAAACCGCGGUCAUUAAAAGCAGGCUUCAUUCUAAUAAGACGUGCAGAGCACUCCAGCUGGCCUCGUGUUUGUUAGCAGGCUUGGGUGAUGGCUGGACUGUCUGUGUGCUUUCCAGUCAGCA